rnacentral:rRNA from 1 species
GUGCCAGCAGCCGCGGUAACACGUAGGGGGCGAGCGUUGUCCGGAAUCAUUGGGCGUAAAGAGCUCGUAGGCGGCUCAGUCAGUCGGGUGUGAAACCCCCAGGCUCAACCUGGGGACGCCAUCCGAUACUGCUGUGGCUAGAGUCCAGUAGAGGAGUGUGGAAUUCCCGGUGUAGCGGUGAAAUGCGCAGAUAUCGGGAGGAACACCAACGGCGAAGGCAGCACUCUGGGCUGGUACUGACGCUGAGGAGCGAAAGCGUGGGUAGCAAACAGGAUUAGAUACCCCAGUAGUCC